rnacentral:rRNA from 1 species
ACUAUACAUGCAAGUCGAGCGAGCCGAACUAAUUGAUUACCUUCGGGUAUGAAGUUAGGGAAGCGAGCGGCGGAUGGGUGAGUAACACGUGGGUAACCUACCCUAUAGUCUGGGAUACCACUUGGAAACAGGUGCUAAUACCGGAUAAAAGGAGAGAUCACAUGAUUUCUUUUUGAAAGGCGGCGUAAGCUGUCGCUAAAGGAUGGACCCGCGGUGCAUUAGCUAGUUGGUAAGGUAACGGCUUACCAAGGCAACGAUGCAUAGCCGAGUUGAGAGACUGAUCGGCCACAUUGGGACUGAGACACGGCCCAAACUCCUACGGGAGGCAGCAGUGGGGAAUCUUCCACAAUGGACGCAAGUCUGAUGGAGCAACGCCGCGUGAGUGAAGAAGGUUUUCGGAUCGUAAAGCUCUGUUGUUGGUGAAGAAAGAUAGUGAGAGUAACCGCUCAUUAUUUGCCGGUAAUCAACCAGAAAGUCACGGCUAACUACGUGCCAGCAGCCGCGGUAAUACGUAGGUGGCAAGCGUUGUCCGGAUUUAUUGGGCGUAAAGCGAGCGCAGGCGGAAAGAUAAGUCAGAUGUGAAAGCCCUCGGCUUAACCGAGGAAUAGCAUCGGAAACUGUCUUUCUUGAGUGCAGAAGAGGAGAGUGGAACUCCAUGUGUAGCGGUGGAAUGCGUAGAUAUAUGGAAGAACACCAGUGGCGAAGGCGGCUCUCUGGUCUGUAACUGACGCUGAGGCUCG